AGAUGUAUUUAGAGGGGAAUGCUGCUGCACCACAAAAUAAUGCUACUGCCUUCAAAUACUUUUCCAUGGCAGCUAAUAAGGGUAAUGCAAUUGGUCUUCAUGGACUUGGUGUCCUUUACUUUUAUGGAAAAGGAGUUUCAGUGAAUUAUGCCGAAUCACUGAAGUACUUUCAGAAAGCUGCAGAGAAAGGAUGGCCCAAUGCACAGUUCCAUUUCGGCUUCAUGUACUA